CAAAUAUUUUUAUUAUGAAUUUUUUCAUCGCUAUAUGUUAGACAAUAUGAAUACUUAAAAUUUAUAUGCCACGAACUAUUUUUUAAAAUAAAUCGGUUGCAACGCACGGGUAUUAUGAGAGUUAUUAUUGUGAAGAAAAUAGUUGAGCAAAGUGACUCCCCACCCCCAUGAACUGUUCAACAACCUUAGCUUCUCCAACCUCUGGAAAAUGGCACAAAGACAUCAGCAUACACAAAAACAAGUCAACACCAACCAAACCCUAAUUGCUUAGAGGACAAAGUUAGCUAGGCAGCUAGCUAAGCUAGUCACACAUCACCAUCACACACACCAAGCCACACCAGCAACAGCAGCAAGCAACCCAAUCCAAGAACCAGAGAAGGAGGAGGAGAUCUGGGUGGCAAUCUGGCGGAUCAAUGGGGAAGAAGACCAGAUCAAGAAAUCAUCGGUAGAGUGUUCACAGGAAGAGGCCAGAUCGGAGGAGGAGCAUCCGGAUCGAUGCAGAUGAGCAGCGGCGGCGUCGGCGUCGGCGGCGGCGGAGGGAGCAAGGUGAUGUCGCCGAAGCAGGUGCUCACCGUCGUCCUCGUCGUGUUCUGCGCGCUCUCCUUCGUCAAGCUGCUGCUCCUCACCGGCUCCUCGUCGCCCGCCGCCGCCGCGCGCCGCGGCCGCGCCUCGGCGUGGGGGAACGGGACGGACGUGGGGGACGGCGGCCUCGCGCCCAAGGAGGCCGCACUGCUCCGGUCCGUGGUCGCCGCGCGCGCGCCGUGCCGGCUGCUCGUGUUCGGCCUCUCCCCGCAGCUCGCCGCGCUCGCCGCGGUCAACGCCGGGGAGGGCGCCGCCACCGCGUUCGUCACCGACAGCGCCGAGGACGCCGACAGCGCGCGCCGCUCGCUCCGCGGCGGCUCGGCGGCCGUCGGCGGCGGCGGCGGCCAAGAUCCACCAGGUGAGGUACCGCGACGCGGCUGGGGAGGCGUGGCCGCUGCUGCGGCGCGCGCGGGACAGCCCGGCGUGCCGGCGUCCGACGGGGGCGGUGCGCAGGUCCGGCUGCCACCUGGCGCUGAUCACCACGCUGCCGCGGGAGGUGCUCGACGCGAGGUGGGACGUGCUCGUCGUGGACGGGCCGAGCGGCGCCGCCGCCGGGGAGCCCGGCCGGAUGGGCGCCAUCUACACGGCGGCGGGCGCUGGCGCGCGCCUCGGCGGCGGGAGGCCGGGAGGCGGUGGACGUCGCCGUGCACGAUGUGCACCGCACGGUGGAGCGGUGGUACGCCUGGGAGUACCUCUGCGAGGACAACCUCGCCGCCGCCAAGGGCCGCCUCUGGCACUUCCGCGUCGCCGGCGGCGGCCCGCCGGACGCGUUCUGCUCGACCGGCCCCGCCCAGAUCUUGUAAGGAUGGCCGGACCAAUAACCAAUGCUCCCCGGAGACAUCGCCGGUUCUUGGCAAUGCAGCACACAGAUCCCCCUUCCAUCGGCAUCGCCGGAGACAGGAGCCGUUCUUGAAGACGGCGACGGCGACCGCGCAGUUGGUUUGUUCAUAGCUAGUGUGAGCUGAGCUAAUGUGAAGAAUUGAUCUUUCUACUCUUUAGGUACUGGAUUGAUGCAAUUCCAUAGCUCGAACUGAAUUCCUUGAUGGUUGAUGCAAUGCAAAGACAAGCAGAGAGUUUGUAAAGUGUAUACUAGUAAACCGAAUUGUUGUUGUUUCA